CCUCCUCAAUAGAUUUAUAUUUCUGUGCCUUUCAAUUCUUUGUCAUUCUGACUCUGAAUCACAUAGAUACAUACAUACAAGAGCACCAGUUUUCAUAACUGCUAACUUGGGAUAUAUUCGCAUAAGUAUAUUGCAUUAGAAGGCCAAUUUAUACUUCUGUGUUAAGAUGUAUUUGCGUCAUGAUCCAGAGAAAGGGGAUCAUGGUUAAACAUGGCACACAGAGACGUGCUAGAGCACAGUUCUCAGUACUUGAACAUAUCAGUAUGUUUACAUGGCACACAACUGAUGUAUAAUGCAAUAUAAAGAAUUCAAACAAGCCAUAUGAAGUUUACAAAUUCCAGAAAAAUAAGUCAAGAUUACAAAAUUACAGAUUCUUUGCAUUAGUGUAACAAAAAUACAAUGCACAAAAUACUACUCACAAAUGAUGCCCGAAGCACAUGAGGAUCAACAGAGAUGAAAAUACUCAAUUACAAGUACGUCAUUUCUUCUAAUAUGCACACAUUGACGUCUAACCCUUAUCAUGUGGCUCCUAACAAAUCAAAAUCAAGGAACAGUUUCUCAUACAUUCAAACACCGCCGUCUAGUGGGCGUAUAAUGUAACAGUUAUUGCAUAUAAUAGAACAGUCACGACAAUAGAAACAGUAAAAAUCUCAGUUUAAAAAUAUUCACUCUAAUUAGUUUCUCAUUGGUGUCUUUAAUAAAAAUUUCUCCUCUGUGAUAAAAUUCUCGCACUGAACAGCUGGUAUAAAUGAACCUGCGUGGGUUUUCCCCCUGCAUUUCAUUUUUGCUUCACAGAUGGCAGUAUGAUCACAUAUAUAUAGGAUUUAUUUAUAGAAAGCUACAAUCAUGAUAUUGUAUUAAUAUAAAUAUAUAACAUGCUAGGCUUUAUACAGGCUGCAGUUCAUUAUAAUGGGCAGUUUAAUGCUGAAGGAUGGCACACUUUGCUUUCUUUCAACAGACUCCCAGUAAACAAACAGUGUAGGUAAUGUAAACCAUAAUGACUCAAUAAAAAUAAAAACUAAAGCAUUGUUAUUUGUGCCCACAGAAGUAUAAAUCAGUCUUCAUACUGUGAUUGCAAAAACAUUAACUAUAAAAUUAGACUAACCCUAUUUGGUGAAGGUGAUUUCUUGAAGUUGGCCAUCCAAUGACAUGGUAUACCUCUUGCACUUCAAAUUACUCAGAUACUUCAGAGUGUGUGAGGAUCAGUUCUAGCAUUAAAUCAGGCAACAGGACUUCACAAACAGCUCAACACUGAGAAAUACAGUUUAUUAGGUAUUCUUUUAAAAUACAGCAUUGUCUGAGAAAUUGUUUAAAAGGGUGUAUGUUGUAAUCAUUGUGCAAGCAGUGACUCUGGCAGGUCUAGCUCUGGCAGUAUAAAUAAAAUGGGGGGCCAGAAUGUAAUAAAGUCAUGAGGAAACCUGGGGCAUCAGCUUCCUGCCACUCCACUAUUAGAAAACCUGGGUGAUCGAGAGAGGUGGAAGAUAAGAUCAACAUACAACAGUUUACAAAAACUCUCUGUGCUCCUGAACCCCAAAAUCUGUCAGGCUACUUAACAAAUUGCCUGACUAAACAAAUAGGUUUUCAACCUAGACUUACAGAUUGAGAUGGUGAGUCCUGAACACAAAUUGACAAGCUAAUCCAUAGUGGUGAAACUUUGUACGAAAAAUCUGUUGAGUUUUCAUUAUUAUAGGUCUUGAUAAUUGAAGCAGCUGUGGAAUAGAUCAAAAAUGGGGGCAGACAAUUCAAUUCUUUUAUAGGGCUUUAGUAGUUUUCUAUAAUAAAGGCUAAAUUUUACUGGAAGCCAAUGUAGUAGAUAAAACAGAGGUAAUAAGAUAAAACUUUCUUGGUCAAGUAUGGACUCUGGCUGCUGCAUUCUGUACUAAGUGGAGCUUGGUUAUGCAGGACAUCACAGUUAUCCAACCUAGAGGUAAUAAAAGAAUGAACUUAAUUUUUCUGCAUCAUGUGACUGCACAAUAUUUCUUCUGAGAUGAGAAAAGGCUGUCCUAGUAAUGUUAUAAGCAUGAGAGACUGGGGACAAUAAUCAUACAAAGGUCUGUUACUUCAGCACAUGAUGUAACUGAAAGGCCAUCAAGCGUUGAUAUUUAAUUAGAAAGCUUACUUCUAGCUGCCUGUGGGCCUGAGGAAAUUAUUAUUUAGAGUCUCUAAUGCCCUUUACAAAUUCCUCUGUCUUCCAGUUUGCCUGCAGGGUACAGCUACUGUGUUUACAUAUAAGUAUUUAUACAUAGUAUUCCAUCUGAAAGUAGUCAUUUGUUUAUGCUACACACUGAAGACCUUUGGGUUUGAGAUCAAAAAAUGAAUAUGAGACAAUAGAUCAGAAUUUCAGCAUUCAUUUCCUGAUAUGUACAUCUAGAUGUGUUAAACAGCUUAGAACAUGGCAUCUUUGGAGGCAGACAACCCAAUUUUUGGUGAGCAAAAGUUUUGGAACAGAUAGUCUUGAAGCAAGUAACCAGGGCUUGAAUUUUGGCGCGGGAUAGCGGGGAUUGCGCAUAAUUUAAACCAUUCCUGCAAGUUUAACUUUUAUAAUGCGAGAAAUUCCCGCACAAAUGUAUUUGCUUCAUCUCAGAUCAAAUUAUGAAAUACAUCAACAGACGCAAAAAAAAGAAAUCACCGGUUCAAACAGUCUGUCUUUAUUUUAGAGUUUAAUUCACAAACAGCGCUGCACCGGCCAUCUCUGACUGUCGCUGAGCGCUGUAGCGCAUCGGCGUGCUCUCCGUGGCCUGCGUCGCACUCAUCUUAUUCACACAAGGCUGUGUGACGCGCUCUAAUAUUCUGAGUCAUAAUGAGCUGCUUGUGAAGAUAGUAUCAGCUUCCAAUUUAUAUUAUUUUAAUCCCGAAAUUCAAACAUUAAAUACUGUUUUGCUCUUUACAGUGUGUGAUCGGACAGAACGCGCCUGCUGACUCAACACAGCAGCAACGAAGCGCGAGUAAAUCAUCAUCUCCCUGUCUUAAAAUGUGCAUUUUAUCCAAAGUUAAUAUGAAUGAACAUAAGACAGUAUGUAAAAAUAGUCUCCUGAAACUGGAGUAUAUGAAAUUCCCUGAUUCUGAAAGGCAUUAAUAUAUAGUUUUAAUACAGUUCUUAAUGUCAGUUUGGAGGAGAGCUUGACAAAUUCUGUUAUUAAGCUGUUUUGAAAACCACCAUACGUUAAACAUAUAAACGUUAAACAUGUAGACAUAAAUAAAUGAAGAUUAUUAAUUUAGCCCGAUGUGUCAAAAUUUAUUCUCUCCCCAAAAUUUUUAAAUCCCCCCCAUGUGACCCAUGUAAAGGGGGAAUUCCCCCCCCAGUUUAAAAAACGAAAUUCAGGCCCUGAAGUAACACUCAUAAUUUAGAAGCAUAUCCCUUGCUUGCAGUAACUGCAUCAAACCGGUGACCCACUGGUAUCAUCACAUUGUUGCUUUCUGCUUUUUUCCAGGCAGCUACUGCAGCUUCUUUCAGUUGUUGUUUGUUUUGGGGAUUUCUCCCUUUAAUUUCCUCUUCAGUAGGUGAAAUGCAUGCUUAACUGGGUGAACUUGGCCAGUCUAAAACCUUCCACUUCUUUCCCCUGAUGAAGUCCUUUGUUGUGUUGGCAGUGUGAUUUGGGUCAUUGUCUUAAAGCAUGAUGAAGUUCCUCCCAAUUGGAUGCAUUUCUCUGUAAAUGGGCAGGCAGAAUGUUUCUGUAGACUUCUGUUUUCAUUCUGCUGCAACCAUCAUGAGCUUCAUCAUCAAAAAAGAGCUCGUUCCAGAAGCAGCCAUGACACCACCUCUACCGUGCUUGACUGAUGAACUUGUAUGUUUUGGGUUGUUAGCAGAUCCUUUCUUUCUCCACGUUUUGGUCUUUCCAUCACUUUGGUAGAGGUUAAUCUUGGUAUCAUCAGUUCACAAAACUCUCCAGAAUUUUUGUGGCUCAUGUCUGUAUUUGUUUGUAAAUUCCAAUCUGGCCUUUCGAUUCUUAUUGCUGAUGAGUGAUGAUAAAGGUUAGCAUCUAUAUUUCUGCUCUUAAAGUCUUCUCCGAACAGUUGAUUGUGAUACUGUUAUGAGCACAGGAACGAGGGGACCCAGAAGCAGAACAUAGACACAGGAAUUCAGUGUAAGCAGUUUAUUGAUGGCUUAAAGAGGUGAGGGUGUGUGGGAGAGGAGCGUGGUAAUUUCAAACUCGGGUCGCCAGCAUGAAAGCUGAGUGCAGAGUCGGUGAACCAUGAGGAAGAUGAGGUGGGGCUGGGCGUAGAAGGAAGUGAGCAGACAGAGAGCUGAGGGUGGGUGAGCAAUCAACCUGGAGCACGAGGAUAGAACACAGAGUGACCACAGGAUAACAACAGGAAAAACACUAGUCAAUAACAUGAAAAAAACACAAGGAAAGGUGGAAUUGUACCGCACUGGUACCCAGAAUGAUCUGGCGGUGAGUGGCUGAAGAACCAGAGUUUAUAUAUGCUGCAGAUUGGGUGAGUUGAUGAGGAGCAGGUGUGAUCAAAGCUGUAUCAGGCUAGGCGCGAAGUGGAGUGUUAUGCCCAGACACACACACACACACACACAUAUACAAACAGAAACGAGAGGGAGAGAAAAUACUGGAAACACAAGGAAGGGGAAAAACAGGGAAACACGGGGAAAUACACGAGAGCUCCAGCCCAGACAAUUAUAGAUACCUCCACCUCUGCCCUGUGAAGGUUGUUGAGGUCAGUGACUCAUAUUUUUGUUUUUUUUCUUCAAAGCUUUCUCAAUGUUUGUCAUUAACUGCUGUUGUUUUUCAUGGCAGACAGUUUAAUGUUUGGUUGUUAGUACAGAAGUGGUUUGUUUCUCUUUCAGUACAUUCCAAAUUGUUGUACUGGCUAAGCCCAAUGCUUGUGCAGUGGCUCUGAUCUGAUUUUUCCUCUUUUCUUAGCUUCAAAAUGGCUUGCUAUUCUCACGUAGACAGCUCUCUGAUCUUCAUGUUGGUUUAUCCUUUUUUUAAAGUCUUAUGUUUUUUAUUUUCCAAAAGUUACACACCAUCUUUGUAACAGUCAAUAUAAAAAUACAUCCUAAACCCCUCAUCACCUUCUUUCAGGUCCUUACAUACUUUCAUAAGCCGCAACAUUUCCCAAUUCAGUAAUCCAUUCGUCUAAUGCAGGACUUCCCAGAUUCCUCCCAUUCCUGAGAAUAUCUGUUGUCUGAUCAUUACCACAGUUGCCGCUCACUCUCUGUGGGCCAAAGAAAGUCCAGACCCUAACCCUAACCCCUAACCCCGAGGGAGCAUAGCAGUGGGGUGGUGUGGGAGAACUUAGGAAGGUUGAAAGCCAGGCAUGCAGCUGCAUUCUGGAUCAGUUGCAGAGGUCGAGUUGCAGUAGUCCAGUCUCGAAAUGACAAGGGACUGAAUGAGCACCUGUGAAUGGCCUGUGUGGAAAGAAUGGACAAAUCGUUCUGAUGUUAUGAAGGAGAAAUUGACAUGAGUGUGUCAGAUUAACAAUAUGAGAGGAAAAGGACAGUUGAUUGUCCAUGGUUGAGUGUCAUACACAUAGCAGUGCUCUGAAAACCCAUGUGAUGAUCUGACCACACCAAGCGAUCAAGUUUAGACGGAGAACAGAAGAGGACCAAAUACUGAGCCUUGUGGGACACCAGUGGGGAGGCUGCAGAGAGCAGAUGUGGAUCCCCUCCAUGUCACCUGAUAUGACCGACCUUCCAGUGAGAAGCAAAGAAGAGGAAGGCUGAGGUUUGCAAAAGACCAUACGGAUUGGACCGUAGAGGACUGGAGUAAGGUCAUCAUCUCUGAUGAGUCCAGUUUUCAGCUUUGCCCAACACCUUGUUGUCUAAUGGUUAGACAGAGACCUGGAGAGGCCUACAAGCCACAGUGUCUCAUACCCAAUGUGAAAUUUGGUGGAGGAUCAGUGAUGAUCUGGGGGUGUUUCAUCAAAGCUGGAAUAGGGCAGAUUUGUCUUUGUGAAGAACACAUGAAUCAAGCCACAUAUAAGGUUAUCCUGGAAGAAAGCUUACUUCCUUCUACUCUGACAAUGUGCCCCAACUCUGAGGAUUGGUUUUUCCAGCAAGUCAGUGCUCCAUGCCACACAGCCAGGUCAAUCAAGGUAUGGAUGAACCCCAUUGAAAACCUCUGGAAUGUCUCUCAGAGGAUGAUGGAUAGUCACAAGCUGUGAUUGAAAAGUUAUCCCACCAAAUAUUGAUUUCUGAACUCUUUCAAAGUUAAAACAUUAGUAUUAUGUUGUUUAAAGUUGAAUACAAACUUGUUUUCUUUGCAUUAUUUGAGAUCUGAAAACACUGCAUCUUUUUUGUUAUUUUGAACAGUUGUCAUUUUCUGCAAAUACAUUUUCUAAAUGACUAUUUUUAUUUGGAAUUUGGGAGAAAUCUCAGUAGUUUAUGGAAUAAAACAAAACUGGAAAUCCAGAGAAACUCAGAAUUUUGCAGUGGUCUCUUACUUACAACUUGGGAAAAAUUAUCCUUUCCUCAGUGUCCUUAGUGAAAUUUCUGGUAGGGUCAAAAAAAAUAUCCAUACAGCACUCCGGGCCUAGCACUGCACAGGUACCCCCUGUACAUAAUCUAAAGAAAACUGAUUUUACAAAAUCAUCAUCCAUUGUGAUUUGAUCAAGAUUAACCAUGACACCCUAAAAAUCUGCUCCGAAUGGUAUGACUACAGGUAAAACACUCAACACACAGGUUUGGGUUGUUUGAUGAUGCAACUGCUAAGGGGAUAUACUAAGGGGAUGUCUCUUAUUGUUAAAGUUAAUAAGGAUUUGAUAACCCACAGGACACUUUACCCCAUUAACAUUAACAUCAAAUGUAAAUGUAGUAAAAUGAUAUGAGUGAUGGUAACAGGUUUUCCUGUUACUCAGGGCUUAAGAAAAGAUUAGGGUCUCAUGGCAGGAAGUAGAUAAAUUAAUAAAUAUCAGCCAUUGAGCUUAGCAGGUAAUUCACUAUAAGCAGUGCUUCCACACAGUCAAUAAGUACCAGAAGGGGCCGGAACCUGACAAAAUUCCUUAAUUGAUAGCCAGUUUAUCCAAGGACCAGUUUUGGAGAUGCAAUCAGCUAUUGAGUGGGCUGUAAACAUUGUUUGGGUUUGAUAGAAAUGAGAAACACUUUUCAAAUGGUAUUUGUUAAGUUCUAUGGUAAAGCUACAUUAUGCCUCUACCUCUACAUAAAGAGGUCAUUACAGAAGGAAGACUGCAAGCAGCUUUACCUGCAGCAUCAGCCAUAGCAUUACCUCGAGCUUCAUCAGUGUCAGGGGGGCAAUGGGCCUUAAUCUUAACCAGACAUGUUGGACAAUGUGUGAAUCUGUAUAAAUCAUAGCACAACUGGUGGCUAGGAUGUAGGCAUUAAUCAAAGCCACAAGUUCAGCAGCUUGGGCUGAGAGAUGAUCAGGGAGACAUCUCUGAGCUAUCACUGUGUGUGAUGAGCAAACAGCCCAUCCAGCACACCUGCAUCUGUUCAGUACUGAAUCGUCUGUAAAUAAAAUCAUGUCUGGAUUUUCCAGUGGAAUCUCAGAAAUGCUCGAAAGCGGUGAGUGUGAAAGCAUCACACAGUCAUGAUCACUCAAUAUUUAUAUUUUAUUGAAAAUAAAAUCAGUGCCUAGAAUAGGACGGAUGGCAAGUGACGUAAGACCAAAACAAAAACAAACAGGUUCAGUUCUGUAAGUGUUAGAAUGAUCCCUAGUCAUACCAGAAAUGACAGUGCUAGUUCUGGUUAGACAAAAUCUCUAGCCAUCUCUAUUGGAAUUAUUGAUACUUGUGCACCAGUGUCAAUCAAAAAACUGCAUUCAUGAUCAUUCACAGUGAGUAUCACAUACAGUCUGUUAUCUUGCUCAUGCAUAAUUGGCUGCAAAUAGGCUUUCACAGCAGACAUAUUUAAAAAGAAUGUGCAGCAAGAGGAUGGGGAGGUUGAAGUAAAGCAUCUGAGUGUUGGGAGGCUGAAUUAUUUGCCCUGCCACCUCUACUGAGAUAGUCCCGCCCAGUGGGUCAGGCUGGGAAGCUCUGGAAGUUGGAGCACACUUCCCACUCAGCUUUCUCGUGUCAGCCUUCUUAUGGCACACACACUCCCAGUGCCCCUGCUUGUGACAAUACCAGCACUCAUCCUGCUGAACUGAGUGUUUACCACAUUAGCCUUUGUUUGUAACAAAUCAGACACAUGCAUUUUCACACUCUCUCUCAUAUUUGGAAAUAACAGCCAAAGGGUUCAAGUUGUAUAAUUGAAUUUUAUUAUGAAUGGGGCCCAGUGAACCUGCUCAAUCUCCGAUAGCUCUUCUCCAUAUCUUCCAAUGUGUACUGGAGGAUAUCCAUCUCGGGUUUAAUAGCUUAGCGGGUUGGUCUCCUAGGACAGUUUCAGUUCCUUAUCGGUGUCCUCCAGGUGUCCACUUUUCUCUAGUUCUGUCAUUCGUGUGACAAGCGCCAGUAAUUUCUCUUCCACUGAUACUGUUGUGAAGCGAAUGUCCUCUAGGCUGAUCAGUUCCUUGGAAAUCUUCCUUAGCGGUGCAUAGAUUUUCGCCAUGUCCAGAGUAACAUGUUGUGGCUUGGGCCUGCUAACCUUGCCAAGGGGUUAGCAAGCCACUUUUUUUUUUUUUUGCUUGCUUUGAUAUCUUCCAUCAACUUUUUUCACAAAAUUUUCAUCAAAAUUUUCACACGUCGUGAAGCUUCGGCUGAUUGUUACAGGUGAAUAAAGAGGGAUCAAUGUAAUCAAUGCUUGUCAGAGCUCUAUGCUUAGGCAGCCAUCUUACUAACCACUUGAAAAAUGGGUGAGUUCAAACAAAAGAUGCCGUGUUAUAAGUUGUCUAGAUGUAAAUAUCAAUAAAUGAAAGCUGAAAUUUUGAUCUGCCGUCUCAUAUUCAUCUUUUGAUCUCAAACCCAAAUGUCUUCAGUGUACAGCAAAAGCAAAAGCCAUUCCAAUACUUGCCAUUACAAUACUUUCAGAGGGGACAGUAUAUCAACUGCCAUGUAGGUUGAUUUUAUGUUCUGGUAGCUAGCUUAUAAUUAUUUGUCUGUGUUGACGAGUGAUAAUGGACUAGAGGGUCAGGUGUGUUCUUUAUUGUGUUUAAGGUGCAAUGAAAUAGUGGCAGUUUUCGUUUCUGUGGGUAGUCUUGUAUUCUGUUUUAUUGCAGAUAUCAGUCAAUUAAUAGUUGCAGUUUUUGUUUGUUCUUUAUUUUAUUUAAUGAGGUUAGCUAGAAACCUCCAGAUUUAGUUUACUUUAUUAAAAGUUUUAUGACUGAGUCUUUGUAGUAGAUACUGAGUUGUUUUUUUUUUUUUUUUUUUUUUUUUGUUUUUUUUUUUAACUUAAAAGUUAAAAUUUCAUUGAAAUUUGAGUUUUCUUAAUUUGUUUUCAGUUCUUUUCUGUAGAGAUUUCUGCUCAUGUUCUUUUGUUAUAGCUACCAAAUUGCGGCUCUUUGAGGAUUAGUCCAUUAAAGUACCAUCUGAGGAUGUUUUUGUAGGUGAUUUCCAGGCCAGGGAGACAGGAGCGCAGUUGCUGAUAGUAAUGAAGUGAUGAUGUAAAGAACUUUUAUACAGGGCUCUACUCAGAAUGAAAAUCAUAGAAGUCACAUGUGGAACCAUCAUUUCAAUUUCCUAUGAUUCCAAAUUUACAACUCUAUGUAGGUUUAAGAUCAUACCCUAAAGGGCUGCAAGAAGUGCCAUUCUACCACCAAAGGCACUAUAAUUAAGGAAUAAUUAUGUUCUGUGAUGGGAUCUCUAGGGUGAACACUGAUACUCGGACACAAGAUGGUACUUAAACCCUGGUAGGUGAUUUGUUUAGCAAUGAGGGUGAAGUGACGUGAGCUUGUAGUGAGGAGGGUGGUGGGAGUGAGAGCAUACCAAAAGAAAUAGCAAUUCCCAUUGGCUGGGGCUAAAUGAGAGACAGAUAUUAUUAUUAUUAUUAUUAUCUGUUUAUUUAUUUAUCCUAGGUAGUUUAUUAUUAUUAUUAUUAUUAUUAUUAUUAUUAUUAUUAUUGUUGUUGUUAUUGUUUAUUAAAUUAACUACUAACUUGAUCUUGGCCCCUGUUGGACAAAUCUGGAAAUGUUUUAAGACAAUUUAUUUAAGUGAAAACCAAUCAAAACUGUAAAAUAAACUUGACAAAGUAAUUACUUUUUGACAUACAUUUUUUAUGGCCAGGUGUUACCCAAAACUAUGAUUAAUCACAUGUUCAUACUGUUUCAACUAUUUCAGUGAACAACUUUUUAUUUGUUCUUGAGUAGGUGUUACAUGCACUAAUAAUGUAACAGUUCUGAUGUUAUAGAAGCUAAAAAUACAAAACAAAAAAAUCAGAAGAAUAAAACUAAAAAUUCUAAAUGAACAAUAAAAAAAGACUUUGCAAGAAUUCCAUAGCUGUUCAUUAAAGAGCAAGUUAUUAAAUGUUAUUAAAAGUUAUUAAAUGUAACUUUAAAAAAAAAAA